rnacentral:lncRNA from 1 species
GCGGUAUUACAGAGUCACCCAGAGGACCCAGCCAGGAUCAGGAUGGCUUGAACYUUUCCCUUGUUACUUUCCUUAAUUCUGUGCUGUAGUUCGGUUCUUCCACUGUUGUUGUGUUUCUUGGGGUUUUUUUAGAUAAGAWAGAGGUCUUCCAGUUUUUAUAUUUCACCUCAGUCUCUUUCCUUUGCAUUAGUAGGUGUGGCAACUGCAGCUUCUGGAUCAGUUGGGCUGUGCCAAGCAGGAACCUUUUGUCCUGCUGGUUCAUUUCUUCCUACUCCCUGCACUCCAGGUUUGUACUGUGCAACUGCAGAGCUGGCAGCUCCAUCAGGUCCCUGUGAGGCUGGCUUCUACUGCACGGGGAGCUCUGUGCUCCCCAAUCCCGUGGAUGGAGCAGUGGGGAACAUUUGUCCUCGAGGUCACUUCUGUCCUGCAGGGAGCUCUUCUCCAUCUUCUUGCCCUCCAGGCUCCUUUUUGGCCCAUCGUGGUGGUCAGUCAGCCCAGGAUUGCCAGGCCUGCUUCCCAGGGUGGUUCUGUUCUCAGCAUGGCCAGAGCUCCCCGGAGGGUUUGUGUAAAGAGGGAUGGUUUUGCCCAGAGGGCUCUGCGUCAGGCCACCAUUCAGACUAUGUGUGUCCUGUUGGUCACUAUUGCCCCACUGGCAGCCCAGAGCCCACACCCUGUCCCGCUGGAAAAUAUCAGGACCAGGCUGGUAAAAGCCAGUGUAAAAUAUGCCCAGCAGGAAUGUUCUGCACCCAAAAAGACCAGCCAGAAGCUCUCCAAGAGAACUUCUCACAUGGGGUGGUCAAACCAAUGGACUGUCCAGCAGGACAUUACUGUCUCUCAGGAACAAAAGCUGCUAACCAGUACCCAUGCCCAGAGGGGACCUUCAGUAACCAGACUGGGCUGAGAAGUCCCAGGGAAUGCAGACCUUGUCCUGGAGGCACGUUUUGUGCCAGUGCAGGACUCCUGACGCCAAGUGGUCCUUGUUUGCCUGGGUAUUACUGCACUUUGAAGGC